UACGUAGGGGGCAAGCGUUAUCCGGAAUUACUGGGUGUAAAGGGAGCGUAGACGGUGAUGCAAGUCUGGAGUGAAAGGCGGGGGCCCAACCCCCGGACUGCUCUGGAAACUAUGUGACUGGAGUGCAGGAGAGGUGAGCGGAAUUCCUAGUGUAGCGGUGAAAUGCGUAGAUAUUAGGAGGAACACCAGUGGCGAAGGCGGCUUACUGGACAGUGACUGACACUGAGGCUCGAAAGCGUGGGUAUCGAACAGG
rnacentral:rRNA from 1 species